UACUAAGACCCAAUGUUUUGUAUGUAUGAAAUGUAGUCUUCUACCAAGACCCGAAUGUUUUGUAUAAAUGAAGUGUAGUCUUCUACCAAGACUCGAAUGUUUUGUAUGUAUGAAGUGCAGUCUUCUACCAAGACCCGAAUGUUUUGUAUGUAUGAAGUAUUUUUCCUUUGCGUAGACUAGUACUAAAAGUGCUUAGUCUAACUCAUCGUUUAUGUGAAAGAUAUCACAAAAUAAAGUAAACAGGAAAAAUAUAAUCAGAUAGGUGUUAGCCUGAGGUACUGGUGCUAACAAAAUGAAUGUAAAUGUUGACCGGAGGUACUGGGGCUAACAUAUUACAUAUAACCUAAUGGACAUCCGAAGAUAGUCCAAUUCUUCCUCUGUAGCAGCAGCAGGUGGAAGGAAUGGUUAGUCCCUGUAAAGGUAUUCCUAGUAUAAGUAUUAACCGUAGGCAUCCGUAGAUGUUCAUUACCCACUGUUGCUAACAGAUGGGUUCCGGAAUGGUUAGUCCCGUACGUAUAUCCCGAGGUACUGUGGGAUAUAGGCCCAUCUAGGUAUCCCGAGGUACUGUGGGAUAGGGUCCUUUCUUAAAUAUUCCGAGGUACAGUG
rnacentral:lncRNA from 1 species